CCAGCAUUGGCUGAAGAAAAAUUACAGUUUAAUCUCUAGCACUUGUCAUAACACUGUGCUUCUUUGAUAUUUGCAUGCAUGAAAACUUUCUGCACAAAAAGACUUCUUUGAUCUGAUGAUCCAGAAUGCCAUGUCUUCAGUCAGCAAGAGCAGCACUGGUUGAGAAAAGCAGUAUGAUCAGCCAUCUGACCCUCCACAUUCAAGGCAGAAACCUGUCAUUUUUCUGAGAUAUCUGGGCAAUGCCUGGCCCUCAGGAGGCACAGCACCCUGUGCUGACUCACAUGAUUAGAGUUCAACAUGUUUUAGCGGUGCUCCAAAUAAGAUUUGGUGUGCUGCUGAUUAUCCUGUGGAUAAUUAUUUUCUCCAGUGUGGCUCAUUAUGAUCUUUCUGUAGUACAAUUCCACCUGCAUGGCCCUACUUCUACCUUUUCGUACCAGUCAUUUAUGUCAUUUCUGGAAUUCUGAUGGUUGUGCCUGAAAAGAAAAGAGAAAGCAAUGUGAAUUUUUCCUGCCAAGGAAUGAAUAUUUUGAACACUGUGUUUACAGGAACCUUAACAGUAAUGCAUGGCUUAGACUCAUUUGCAACAAUAGAGAUGUCAGACGUAUUGGUUGGAGAUAUAAUAUCUUUUGUUGGCAGGUGAUAUGAGCACAGAUACACCAUACCUGCCCCACAUCAAGACUGAAGAAGUGGCUCUCCGAGCUACUUCAGUGGUUUGAUAGAACAUCUGUGUGACAUUCCUGGUCUUUUUGCAAUGCUUCCCACAAUACAUCAGUGUCUCUAUAAUAAAGAGGACCUUAAAUAUU